CUACGGGAGGCAGCAGUGAGGAAUAUUGCACAAUGGGGGAAACCCUGAUGCAGCAACGCCGCGUGGAGGAUGACGCAUUUCGGUGUGUAAACUCCUUUUAUAUGUCAAGAAAAUGACGGUAGCAUAUGAAUAAGCACCGGCUAACUCCGUGCCAGCAGCCGCGGUAAUACGGAGGGUGCAAGCGUUACUCGGAAUCACUGGGCGUAAAGGACGCGUAGGCUGUUUGGCAAGUCAGAUGUGAAAUCCUAUGGCUCAACCAUAGAACUGCAUUUGAAACUGCCAGACUAGAGUAUGGGAGGGGGAGAUGGAAUUAGUGGUGUAGGGGUAAAAUCCGUAGAUAUCACUAGGAAUACCUAAAGCGAAGGCGAUCUCCUGGAACAUUACUGACGCUAAGGCGUGAAAGCGUGGGGAGCAAACAGGAUUAGAUACCCGAGUAGUC
rnacentral:rRNA from 1 species